rnacentral:rRNA from 1 species
GAUGAACGCUGGCGGCGUGCCUAAUACAUGCAAGUCGAACGAGUUCUUGUUGAUGAUCGGUGCUUGCACCAAGAUUCAACAUGGAACGAGUGGCGGACGGGUGAGUAACACGUGGGUAACCUGCCCUUAAGUGGGGGAUAACAUUUGGAAACAGAUGCUAAUACCGCAUAGAUCCAAGAACCGCAUGGUUCUUGGCUGAAAGAUGGCGUAAGCUAUCGCUUUUGGAUGGACCCGCGGCGUAUUAGCUAGUUGGUGAGGUAAUGGCUCACCAAGGCGAUGAUACGUAGCCGAACUGAGAGGUUGAUCGGCCACAUUGGGACUGAGACACGGCCCAAACUCCUACGGGAGGCAGCAGUAGGGAAUCUUCCACAAUGGACGCAAGUCUGAUGGAGCAACGCCGCGUGAGUGAAGAAGGCUUUCGGGUCGUAAAACUCUGUUGUUGGAGAAGAAUGGUCGGCAGAGUAACUGUUGUCGGCGUGACGGUAUCCAACCAGAAAGCCACGGCUAACUACGUGCCAGCAGCCGCGGUAAUACGUAGGUGGCAAGCGUUAUCCGGAUUUAUUGGGCGUAAAGCGAGCGCAGGCGGUUUUUUAAGUCUGAUGUGAAAGCCCUCGGCUUAACCGAGGAAGCGCAUCGGAAACUGGGAAACUUGAGUGCAGAAGAGGACAGUGGAACUCCAUGUGUAGCGGUGAAAUGCGUAGAUAUAUGGAAGAACACCAGUGGCGAAGGCGGCUGUCUGGUCUGUAACUGACGCUGAGGCUCGAAAGCAUGGGUAGCGAACAGGAUUAGAUACCCUGGUAGUCCAUGCCGUAAACGAUGAAUGUUAGGUGUUGGAGGGUUUCCGCCCUUCAGUGCCGCAGCUAACGCAUUAAGCAUUCCGCCUGGGGAGUACGACCGCAAGGUUGAAACUCAAAGGAAUUGACGGGGGCCCGCACAAGCGGUGGAGCAUGUGGUUUAAUUCGAAGCAACGCGAAGAACCUUACCAGGUCUUGACAUCUUUUGAUCACCUGAGAGAUCAGGUUUCCCCUUCGGGGGCAAAAUGACAGGUGGUGCAUGGUUGUCGUCAGCUCGUGUCGUGAGAUGUUGGGUUAAGUCCCGCAACGAGCGCAACCCUUAUGACUAGUUGCCAGCAUUUAGUUGGGCACUCUAGUAAGACUGCCGGUGACAAACCGGAGGAAGGUGGGGAUGACGUCAAAUCAUCAUGCCCCUUAUGACCUGGGCUACACACGUGCUACAAUGGAUGGUACAACGAGUUGCGAGACCGCGAGGUCAAGCUAAUCUCUUAAAGCCAUUCUCAGUUCGGACUGUAGGCUGCAACUCGCCUACACGAAGUCGGAAUCGCUAGUAAUCGCGGAUCAGCACGCCGCGGUGAAUACGUUCCCGGGCCUUGUACACACCGCCCGUCACACCAUGAGAGUUUGUAACACCCGAAGCCGGUGGCGUAACCCUUUUAGGGAGCGAGCCGUCUAAGGUGGGACAAAUGAUUAGGGUGAGGUCGUAACAAGGUAGCCGUAG